rnacentral:rRNA from 1 species
CCUACGGGGGGCUGCAGUGGGGAAUAUUGCGCAGUGGGCGAAAGCCUGACGCAGCGACGCCGCGUGAGGGAUGAAGGUCUUCGGAUCGUAAACCUCUGUCAGCAGGGAAGAACGGUCACUGUGCUAAUCAGCAGUGAAUUGACGGUACCUGCAAAGGAAGCACCGGCUAACUCCGUGCCAGCAGCCGCGGUAAUACGGAGGGUGCGAGCGUUAAUCGGAAUUACUGGGCGUAAAGCGCUCGUAGGCGGGAUGUCAAGUCAAGGGUGAAAUCCCCGCGCUCAAGGUGGGAACUGCCUUUGAAACUGGCAAACUGGAGUGUGUGAGAGGAUAGUGGAAUUCCAGGUGUAGGAGUGAAAUGCGUAGAUAUCUGGAGGAACAUCAGUGGCGAAGGCGACUAUCUGGCACAUAACUGACGCUGAGGAGCGAAAGCGUGGGUAGCAAACAGGAUUAGAUACCCGGGUAGUC